UCGGGUAUGGUGUAACGGCUAACAUUGCCGCCUUUCAUCAGUUCGAGUAGCAUGAAACUCCGCGGCAGCUCGGGGUUCGAUUCCCCGUACCCGAA